UACGAAGGGGGCUAGCGUUGCUCGGAAUUACUGGGCGUAAAGGGCGCGUAGGCGGCACUGUUAGUCAGGCGUGAAAUUCCUGGGCUCAACCUGGGGACUGCGCUUGAUACGGCAGAGCUAGAGGAUGGAAGAGGCUCGCGGAAUUCCCAGUGUAGAGGUGAAAAUUCGUAGAUAUUGGGAAGAACACCGGUGGCGAAGGCGGCGAAGCUGGUCCAUUACUGACGGCUGAGGCGCGACAGCGUGGGGGAGCAAACAGG
rnacentral:rRNA from 1 species